ACGAACGCUGGCGGCAGGCUUAACACAUGCAAGUCGAGCGCCCCGCAAGGGGAGCGGCGCACGGGAGAAUAACACGUGGGAACCUACCUUUUAGUUCGGAACAACACCGGGAAACUGGUGCUAAUACCGGAUACGUCCUUCGGGAGAAAGAUUUAUCGCUAAAAGAUGGGCCCGCGUUGGAUUAGCUAGUUGGUGAGGUAAUGGCUCACCAAGGCGACGAUCCAUAGCUGGUCUAAGAGGAUGAUCAGCCUCACUGGGACUGAGACACGGCCCAGACUCCUACGGGAGGCAGCAGUGGGGAAUAUUGGACAAUGGGGGCAACCCUGAUCCAGCCAUGCCGCGUGGAUGUUAAGGCCUUCGGGUUGUAAAGUCCUUUUGGCGGGGACGAUGAUGACGGUACCCGCAGAAUAAGAUCCGGCAAACUUCGU
rnacentral:rRNA from 1 species